rnacentral:rRNA from 1 species
GAAUUUAAACCCCUUCCAGAGUAUCAAUUGGAGGGCAAGUCUGGUGCCAGCAGCCGCGGUAAUUCCAGCUCCAAUAGCGUAUAUUAAACUUGUUGCAGUUAAAAAGCUCGUAGUUGAAUUUCUGCUGUUUCGUUGACUGCGUUUGGCGUUUGUCAUCGUUGCGGCUUGGUUGGGUUUCGAUUAUUCGUUUCCCGGCGUUUACUUUGAGAAAAUUAGAGUGCUUGAAGCAGGCUUUUGCCUUGAAUACUUUAGCAUGGAAUAACGGAGUAGGACUUUGGUUCUAUUUUGUUGGUUUUAGGAGCCAGAGUAAUGGUUAAUAGGAACAGUUGGGGGCAUUCGUAUUUGACUGUCAGAGGUGAAAUUCUUAGAUUUGUCAAAGACGAACUACUGCGAAAGCAUUUGCCAAGGAUGUUUUCAUUAAUCAAGAACGAAAGUUAGGGGAUCGAAGACGAUCAGAUACCGUCGUAGUCCUAACCAUAAACGAUGCCGACUAGAGAUUGGAGGUCGUCAGUUUGAACGACUCCUUCAGC